UGCAUUUGUUUAGCUUUUUGAAAUGUUGAUCAAACUGAAUACAGCUCUGAAUAGGCGAUAUACGAUAUACGAUAUACGAUUUAUAAACUUUAUUUAGUUUUUGUUUUCCAUAAUAUUUAAGUAUCGAUCAGAUGCUGAUACAUUUGGUAAAAAUUGAUCGAUUAUCUAUCACAUAGAAUACAUCUAAUAAAAUGAAAAUCAGCGAAGGGAUGGGGGCUGGGUGAGG